rnacentral:rRNA from 1 species
AUGGAGGUUGUGAGCGCUGCACAUGGUGCGUUUGGUCCUCUGCUGGAGAAGCUCACCACCUUGCUCGUCGACGAGUAUGCUAGGCUCAAAGGGGUCCGCCGCGAGAUCCGUUCCCUCAGAUCAGAGCUCAGCAGCAUGCACGCUGCACUCAAAGAGUACACCAAGCUAGAAGACCCAAAUGACCAAGUGAAGACAUGGAUAUCGCUGGUCAGGGAGUUGGCCUAUGACACCGAGGAUGCCUUGGACAAAUUCGUCCACCAGCUUGUCAAUGGAAGUCGAAGGCACCACGGCGGUUUCAAGAAGCUCUUCCGGAAGACCAUCUGUCAUCUCAAGACGCUUGGGUCUCGCCGUGGAAUCGCUGACCAGAUUGACGACCUCAAGGACCGCAUUAAGCAUGUGAAAGAUCUCAAGGAUAGCUACACAUUGGAUGGUGCUCCUUCCAGCACAACUCGCCAUGGAGUCGUGGAUCCCCGACUGCACGCGAUUUUUGCCGAAGAGGCACAUCUUGUCGGUAUGGAAGGUCCAAGAGACGAUCUUGCUAACUGGAUGAUGGAAGAAGGAAACAACUCGUCCAGCCAUUGCAAGGUGUUGUCUAUUGUUGGGUUUGGUGGAUUGGGAAAGACAACAUUGGCAAAUGAGGUCCGUCGGAAGAUUCAAGGACGGUUCCAUUGCCAAGCUUUUGUAUCGAUCUCGCAAAAGCCAGAUAUAAAGAAAAUUAUCAAGGAUGUUAUCUCUCAAAUGCCAUGCCUAGAUGGAUCCACACAAGAUACCAUGGAUUGGGAUGAAAAGAAGUCCAUUGCAAAGCUAAGAGAAAUGCUACAAGAUAAAAGGUAUCUCGUCAUCAUUGAUGAUGUAUGGUCUAGACAAGCAUGGAAUACUAUCAAGUGUGCUUUUCCAGAGAAUAAUUGUUCUAGCAGAAUUAUAGCUACUACCCGCAUCAUUGAUGUAGCAAAGUCAUGUUGUCAGAAUACUGAUGACCGCAUGUACAAAAUGGAAGCCCUAAAUGAUCUUCACUCUAGGACAUUGUUUUCGAAAAGAAUAUUUGGCUCUAGUAACUAUUGUCCUGAAGUGUUGCACAAAGUUUCAGAUGGAAUUCUAAAAAAAUGUGGAGGCCUACCACUAGCAAUUAUCAGUAUAUCAAGUUUGUUGGCGAAUAGGCCAGCUAUGAAGGAUGAGUGGGAGAAGGUUAAAAGAUCAAUUGGCUGCGCACUAGAAAAUAACCAGAGUCUAGAGGGAAUGAGUAGUAUACUAUCUCUUAGCUAUAAUGAUCUUCCACCUAAUCUCAAGACAUGUCUGUUGUAUUUAAGUGUAUUCCCUGAGGAUUAUGUUAUUGACAGAGAGAGGUUAGUGAGGCGAUGGAUAGCAGAAGGAUUUAUCUCGGAACAACAUGGGCAGAGCCAGCAAGAAGUUGCGGAGAACUACUUUUAUGAGCUUGUCAACAAAAGCAUGGUUCAACCAGUGGAUAUUGGAUAUGAUGGCAAGGUUCGUGCCUGCCAAGUGCACGACAUGAUGCUUGAAAUUAUCAUUUCAAAAUCCAUUGAAGAUAAUUUUGUCACUGUGGUACGCAGAGGUCAGAUAAGUUUGAAAAGUCAUCAAGGUUUUAUUCGGCGACUAUCAGUCCAACACAUUGACCAGGAGUUGCUAUCAGCAUUGGCAAAUGAAGAUCUAAGCCAUGUUCGAUCUCUGACGGUAACAUCAUCAGUUUGCAUGAAACACUUUCCUAGUCUUGUUGAAUUUGAAUCUCUACGUGUACUGGACUUUGAAGAUUGUCAAGGUUUGCAGGAGUAUGAUAUGAACAAUAUAGACAAAUUAUUCCAACUAAAGUACCUCAGCUUUAGGGGCACGUGCAUAACAAAGCCACCAUCAAGGAUUGUAAUGCUACGUAACCUACAGACCCUUGAUCUUAGGAUGACAUCCAUGCAACAAGAUCUGCCAGAUGGAAUUGUUCUGCUCACUAAACUACAGUAUCUACUCACUGAAACACAACAUAAGAUACCUAUUGGGAUCACCAAUAUGAGGAGCUUACGGGUAACCCCAAAUUUUAAUAUUACCAAGAGUCCAUUGGAUGCAGUGGAGGAGCUUGGGAACCUAACCAGAUUAAACGAGCUCUCUUUGCACUUGUCUGAUGGAUAUAGGUACAAGACGCAUGAGGAGGUGCUACUCUCCUCACUAUGCAAGCUUAGCCGUUGCAAACUCCGGUCCUUAUACAUAAGUAGGGAAUGGGGUUCACUCAACUUUAUAGAUUCUUGGUCCCCUCCAUCCUCCCUUCAGAUAUUUCAUAUGUCUAGCAACAUGCAUUUAGCAAACAUUCCAAAGUGGAUUUCUCCGGGACUCACAAGCCUUGUUAAUCUGGAUAUCAAUGUGGCUGAACUGAGGGAGGAAGGUCUGCACACUCUUGGUUUGCUCCCAUCGUUACUGGAUCUAGCAUUGUGUUUGCGUUCAGGAGGAAGCAAAAAGCUUACCGUAAUUGGAUUCCCAUGCCUCAAGAGGUUUAACCUCUUUAGUUGGGAUGGGGCAUAUGUGAUGCUCACGAAAGGGUCCAUGUGGAAUCUUGAGGAGUUUUUGUUGUCUUUUGAUGUGUCAGUGGCCAAAGCGUAUGGCUUCUAUUUAGGCAUUGAGCAUCUCCCAUCUCUCAAACUAAUACAAGUAGUUCUUCGCAACGAAGGUGCCACACAUUCGGAAUCGAAGGCUGCAGCCGCUGCCAUCAGGGAGGAAGCAGGUGCCCAUCCCAACCAUCCCGAAGUCUGUAUUUUGGAGGAACCGGAUGAAGAUGAAGAUAACAAUGAAAAGACUGAUAAUGAUGAAGGAAAGAGCAGAGAGGAGGGGAAUUAA